CGCAUAUUGCGCCCUUUGGUAUUCCGAAGGGCAUGCCUGUUCGAGCGUCAUUACACCCCUCAAACUUAACUGUUUGAUGUUGGGCGGUGCCGGGUGGCACGCCUCAAAUGCAGCGACGGUUCCAGCCGACCUCAAACGUGCAAGUAUCGUUAUGGGCGGCGGUCUGGGACCGGUCUCUACAGGAUUAUACCUAAAUGUUGACCUCGGAUCAGGUAGGAAUACCCGCUGAACUUAA
rnacentral:misc_RNA from 1 species